rnacentral:rRNA from 1 species
ACGCUGGCGGCGUGCUUAACACAUGCAAGUCGGAACGGGGUUAAGGAGCUUGCUCCUUAACUUAGUGGCGAACGGGUGAGUAACGCGUGAGGAAUCUGCCCUUAAGGAGGGGGACAACAGAGGGAAACUUCUGCUAAUACCCCAUAUGAGCGUAGCUGAAAUGCUAUUCUUGAAAACUCCGGUGCUUAAGGAUGAGCCUGCAUCUGAUUAGCUAGUUGGGGUGUAAUGGACCACCAAGGCGACGAUCAGUAGCUGGUUUGAGAGGAUGAUCAGCCACAAUGGGACUGAGACACGGCCCAUACUCCUACGGGAGGCAGCAGUAGGGAAUUUUGCGCAAUGGGCGAAAGCCUGACGCAGCAACGCCGCGUGAUUGAAGAAGCCCUUCGGGGUGUAAAGAUCUGUCAGUGGGGACGAAACUUGACGGUACCCACAGAGGAAGCAUCGGCUAACUCCGUG